rnacentral:rRNA from 1 species
UACAGAGGGGGCAAGCGUUGUUCGGAAUUACUGGGCGUAAAGGGCGCGUAGGCGGCCUUCUAAGUCGAACGUGAAAUCCCCGGGCUCAACCCGGGAACUGCGUCCGAUACUGGAAGGCUAGAGUCUUGUAGAGGGGGGUAGAAUUCCAGGUGUAGCGGUGAAAUGCGUAGAGAUCUGGAGGAAUACCGGUGGCGAAGGCGGCCCCCUGGACAAAGACUGACGCUCAGGUGCGAAAGCGUGGGGAGCAAACAGG